AUUGAACGCUGGCGGCAUGCCUUACACAUGCAAGUCGAACGGCAGCAUAGGAGCUUGCUCCUGAUGGCGAGUGGCGAACGGGUGAGUAAUAUAUCGGAACGUGCCCUAGAGUGGGGGAUAACUAGUCGAAAGAUUAGCUAAUACCGCAUACGAUCUAAGGAUGAAAGUGGGGGAUCGCAAGACCUCAUGCUCAUGGAGCGGCCGAUAUCUGAUUAGCUAGUUGGUGGGGUAAAAGCUCACCAAGGCGACGAUCAGUAGCUGGUCUGAGAGGACGACCAGCCACACUGGGACUGAGACACGGCCCAGACUCCGACGGGAGGCAGCAGUGGGGAAUUUUGGACAAUGGGGGCAACCCUGAUCCAGCAAUGCCGCGUGAGUGAAGAAGGCCUUCGGGUUGUAAAGCUCUUUUGUCAGGGAAGAAACGGUAGAAGCUAAUAUCUUUUACUAAUGACGGUACCUGAAGAAUAAGCACCGGCUAACUACGUGCCAGCAGCCGCCGUAAGAC
rnacentral:rRNA from 1 species